UAUUAAUGAUCAUUAAUGAUAUUUGAAUAGACUAUUAACAUAAUUUAAUGUCUGCCGUUGGGCUCUAUUCAAAUUUCCUUUGUGUGGCGCAUUAGAGUCAAAAAGAUUUCCAUCUCAAUCAUUAACUAAAAUUUUUUUCGAGUGCUGCAAAUUUUUAACUUGCUGUAAGUGAGGUCAAAGCAAUAAAUUAAGGUCGACAAGUUGUAUCAUUUAGGACCGGUCAGUUGCCUUUCAUUAUAUCAUUCAUACCCCGCAAGUGAGGAUGUCAGUUUCGAACAAGUCUCUGCUUUACUUCGUGCUUAUGAUGCUGUUGUUCGCCACUGCUCAUGCCGGAAGGAUUGUGGUCAUCUUCCGUCGCAAGGUCGGCAGUAGUCGUAGAUUUCCAAGAAUCACACCUUAGAUAGUGAAAAAUUCACUGCUUUUUGCUCUUGUAUAAAUUUUAAAUAUAAAAAUGCGUUUUAAGAUUUAAUUAAUUAUAGUGGAAAUAAUUUUAAAUUGUGUACAUAUGAUCAAUUUGUUGUAAAAAGUUUGCCAAAUAAUUAAUCUGUUUGGAAAUCUAGAGCAUUCUUUUUCAGCGACUCUAAAUUAACUUUUGUGCGUCACGAUCAAUGACCCCUGUGCGGUCAAGUUGGUGAUAAAAUAGCCACGUGACCAAGUGCUAAUGAUUAAAUUAUUGUAAGAGCUCGUUCUGACCAGACAUGAUAUUUCUCAGAUAUAUCGUCUUUUUCGCUUUCCUAGGAUUAAUCCUUCAGACGGCCAGAGCUCAAAAGGCAAAAAAGGGUAGCCAUGGAAUUCAUUUAGCAAUCGCUGCCACUGCUCCCGGUCGUAAAUGUGGCCCCUACCAAAUUCGAAUCAGAGGCGUUUGCAGAAAAAGAAAAUUUUAAUUGUUUGACAAUUCAAACAACCGCCCCAGGGUCAUUCAGCCGCUAUUACUAAAAUUUGUUGAGCGGCAAAUUUUGAAAGGUCAACAAAAGGAUUUAAGGUCACCGAUGUGACAAAUUUUAUUAUUAAAGACACCAGUCCCUCGCGAUUGAUUUUGAUGCUUUAACAAGAGCGGACCGAGCUCAUUCUACCACUCAAGCCCCACAAGUGAAGAUGGCAGCUUUCGUCAAGUCUUUCCUCUACUUAGCAAUUCUGAUGUUGCUCCUUGCAACCGCUUCUGCUGGAGUGUCACGCAUACCCAUCGGCAAGGUCCUCAGCAUUCCGAAAUAUCCAAAAUAAUAUCAAUUGGAAAUAAUUUAGUCUGAUUGUAGAUAUAAAUAUAAGCAAAACUGACCUCCUAGUGUGGAAUAAGAGAAAUAAAUUUGUUACCAGAUGAAAAUGUUGUGCAAUAAUUUUUUUUAUGAAAAUUUAACCCACAAAAAAUAUUUCAAGUUUAAUCGAAGUUCUUAAAAUAUUGAUAAAUAUCAGUUCAAAUAUAUUUUUCAAUAAAGAAUAACGCAUUAUUCAAAGGAUAAAGUCUAGAACGUUGAGGCACUACUUAUUUUUGAAAGCUUCCAACAACCAUCACGCCUAACAUAAUAUGCGUUUCAGUCAUAAGUAUUUGAUGAGCACUUUUGUCCCCUCUCGAAUGAUGAUGACGUGAUCGCACCGUAUAUAAAUAAUUUUAAUACUUUACUCAUUUCUGCGAUUGGCAAGCUGAAGUGAAGAUGAAUGCUUUCAAAUAUCUUAUGAUUUUUGUUUUCCUUGGAUUUUUUAUGGCCGCAAGUGCUAUAAAGGAAGCCGGUUCGUCUAAUUCUGCAACUGCUCCUGGCCGUAAAUGUGGUGAAAACCAAGUUAGAAUCAGAGGUGUCUGCAGGGACCAAGGAAGUAUCAUCAACGCGUAAUAUUAACAAUAAGAAGGAGGAGGAGAUGAAAUAUUUCUAUAAUGCUGCAAAGAUUGAGCAAAAUUCCUCCGGGAUUUAAUAUUAUGAAUGUUGAUUCCCAGAUAUAAAGAAACCUUUUGCGAAAGAUCAACAAUGCUCCUCUCCGCAAGUGCUGAUAGCUGAUUGGUACUAAUCAUGUAAAAGUGUCAGCGUUAGUUCUUAUUUGAAAAAAUUAAUUGCAAAAUUUCCUAAAUUUACGAAAUAAAAUUUUUAUAACAUGCC